GGAGAGAAAUCUUUGACGAGGGGGAUCCUAACAAAUGCUGGAAAGCUUGGGCUUCGUUUACUUGAAGACCUGACAGCUCUUGCUGCAGGCAAUUUGGUUACAUGUAAAAUCCUUCAACGGAUAUUUGCACUUGACAUACUUGAGUUCAUUCUGUCCAAUUAUGCUGUUAUUUUCAAGACCUUGGGCCCUUAUGAACAGGUUAUGCGUCACCAGAUUUGUUCACUUUUG
rnacentral:misc_RNA from 1 species